CCUGCCUUUGGAGGGAGCUGUGUGUUCUUUGUUAUUAGUGGAUUAAACCUUUAUUCGCAAGGGUGGAGCUGUUUCCCCCAGUUCUAUUUCCUUUGUGAAAAGGCGGUGUCAGUGUUGGUUCUGCUGUGAAAGUGACUGAGUUGGAUAAAGAAGCCUAAUUAAAGAAAGCUGCUCUGUUUGACUCAA